rnacentral:rRNA from 1 species
GACGAACGCUGGCGGCGUGCUUAACACAUGCAAGUCGAACGGUGACGAGGAGCUUGCUCCUCUGAUCAGUGGCGAACGGGUGAGUAACACGUGAGCAACCUGCCCCAGACUCUGGGAUAACAGUUGGAAACAGCUGCUAAUACCGGAUACGAGACGGAGAGGCAUCUCUACCGUCUGGAAAGUUUUUCGGUCUGGGAUGGACUCGCGGCCUAUCAGCUAGUUGGUGAGGUAAUGGCUCACCAAGGCGACGACGGGUAGCCGGCCUGAGAGGGCGACCGGCCACACUGGGACUGAGACACGGCCCAGACUCCUACGGGAGGCAGCAGUGGGGAAUAUUGCACAAUGGGCGAAAGCCUGAUGCAGCGACGCCGCGUGAGGGAUGAAGGCCUUCGGGUUGUAAACUCUUUCAGCAGGAAGAAGCGAAAGUGACGGUACCUGCAGAAGAAGACACCGGCUAACUACGUAGCCAGCAGCCGCGGUAA